CUAGUAUUAGAGGCACUGCCUGCCCAGUGACAUAUGUUCAACGGCCGCGGUAUCCUGACCGUGCAAAGGUAGCAUAAUCAUUUGUUCUUUAAUUUAGGACUUGAAUGAAAGGCCACACGAGGGUUAAACUGUCUCAUGCUCCCAAUCAGUGAAAUUGACCUUCCCGUGAAGAGGCGGGAAUACAAUAAUAAGACGAGAAGACCCUAUGGAGCUUAAAUCAAUUAACCCAAAUACAUUUACUCAAUAACCAAAGCGGGUAUAAUAUCUAUUGAUUUUUUGGGUUAAAAAUUUCGGUUGGGGUGACCUCGGAGCAUAACUAAACCUCCGAACAAUUUCAGCGUAGACUUCACUAGUCAAAGCAACUUCCGUGCUAAAUUGAUCCAAACUAAUUUGACCAAUGGAACAAGUUACCCUAGGGAUAACAGCGCAAUCCUAUUAUAGAGUCCAUAUCGACAAUAGGGUUUACGACCUCGAUGUUGGAUCAGGACACCCCAAUGGUGUAACCGCUAUUAAAGGUCCGUUUGUUC
rnacentral:rRNA from 1 species